rnacentral:rRNA from 1 species
AGUGAACGCUGGCGGUAGGCCUAACACAUGCAAGUCGAACGGCAGCACAGUAAGAGCUUGCUCUUACGGGUGGCGAGUGGCGGACGGGUGAGGAAUACAUCGGAAUCUACUUUUUCGUGGGGGAUAACGUAGGGAAACUUACGCUAAUACCGCAUACGACCUACGGGUGAAAGCAGGGCAUCUUCGGACCUUGCGCGAUUGAAUGAGCCGAUGUCGGAUUAGCUAGUUGGCGGGGUAAAGGCCCACCAAGGCGACGAUCCGUAGCUGGUCUGAGAGGAUGAUCAGCCACACUGGAACUGAGACACGGUCCAGACUCCUACGGGAGGCAGCAGUGGGGAAUAUUGGACAAUGGGCACAAGCCUGAUCCAGCCAUACCGCGUGGGUGAAGAAGGCCUUCGGGUUGUAAAGCCCUUUUGUUGGGAAAGAAAAGCAGCAGGUUAAUACCCCGCUGUUCUGACGGUACCCAAAGAAUAAGCACCGGCUAACUUCGUG